rnacentral:tRNA from 1 species
CCCCUUGUAAUCCAAUUGGCAGAGAUAGCGCUCUUAAACAGCGUCCAGUGCUGGUUCGAAUCCAGUUAAGGGGA